rnacentral:lncRNA from 1 species
CCUUGAUACAAAACCGAGUACCUUUGCAUCUCUUUCCAAGACAGUUUGUUCUUCUUCAUCCCUAUUUACACUUUCCAAAGGCUCAUCUUCAUCUUCUCUGUUAACGCUCUCAGGUGAGCAAAACCCAACUUCUUCCUCACAGCUAGCUUUCAAAUCUUCCAACGCAUCCACUUUGGGAGAAGAGCAAUCAUUUUUCUCACAUGUAAUUUGUUGUUCAUCAUUUUCUCCAUCCUUGGUUUGAAGACCAUCUCUUUCCACCACCAAAUUAUUCUGCUGCUCAUCACCAUCCCUAAAGGCCUCAGUUUUAUAUUCAUCUUCCACAUCCAUCUUCUUGGGGUAUCUUAAAAAGUCAUCUCUAUUCCCAUCUCCACGAUGAAUUGCUAACAUGUCUCCCUGCCUAUCCAUCCCUAUUUAAAACCCAGCUUUAUGCUGCUCAAACAACAUCAGCAGAAUCAAUAACCCCCAAACUUCUGCUAAAAAUAAAAAUAAUAACAUCAACAUCCAUCAAAGAGGAGAAUAUUAGCAAUAACACAAAGAUGAUGAUGAUGAUGAACUUGACCCCAAAAAAACAAAGAAAAACACUUAACUGCCUCAGGAGAGUCUUGCUCUCCUGUAACUUCUAUCAUUUCCAUCUUUCUAAUAACUGAGUUAUCAACUUGCGGGUUAUCUUCACCAUCCUUUCCAAAAACCCUGUUCCCAUCUCCAUUUCCGCAUCUGUUACUAGUUCCUGUAUCUUCUUCAGUUCCAACCACAUCAAAAUGACCAUUUGACACUUUUGUAUCCGGUGAUGAAUCUGAAGCAGAUUCUUUAUUAUCCCUUGAUACAAAACCGAGUACCUUUGCAUCUCUUUCCAAGACAGUUUGUUCUUCUUCAUCCCUAUUUACACUUUCCAAAGGCUCAUCUUCAUCUUCUCUGUUAACGCUCUCAGGUGAGCAAAACCCAACUUCUUCCUCACAGCUAGCUUUCAAAUCUUCCAACGCAUCCACUUUGGGAGAAGAGCAAUCAUUUUUCUCACAUGUAAUUUGUUGUUCAUCAUUUUCUCCAUCCUUGGUUUGAAGACCAUCUCUUUCCACCACCAAAUUAUUCUGCUGCUCAUCACCAUCCCUAAAGGCCUCAGUUUUAUAUUCAUCUUCCACAUCCAUCUUCUUGGGGUAUCUUAAAAAGUCAUCUCUAUUCCCAUCUCCACGAUGAAUUGCUAACACGUCUCCCUGCCUAUCCAUCCCUAUUUAAAACCCAGCUUUAUGCAGCUCAAACAACAUCAGUAGAACCCCCAAACUUCUGCUAAAAAUAAAAAUAAUAACAUCAACAUCCAUCAAAGAGGAGAAUAUUAGCAAUAACACAAAGAUGAUGAUGAUGAACUUGACC